GGGCGUGUGGUCUAGUGGUAUGAUUCUCGCUUUGGGUUCUAAACUCGAAUAUGUGAGAGGCCCUGGGUUCAAUUCCCAGUAUGCCCC
rnacentral:tRNA from 1 species